rnacentral:rRNA from 1 species
CCUACGGGAGGCUGCAGUGAGGAAUAUUGGUCAAUGGACGAGAGUCUGAACCAGCCAAGUAGCGUGAAGGAUGACUGCCCUAUGGGUUGUAAACUUCUUUUAUAAAGGAAUAAAACGAGGCACGUGUGCCUUUUUGCGUGUACUUUAUGAAUAAGGAUCGGCUAACUCCGUGCCAGCAGCCGCGGUAAUACGGAGGAUCCGAGCGUUAUACGGAUUUAGUGGGUUUAAAGGGAGCGUAGAUGGGUUGUUAAGUCAGUUGUGAAAGUUUGCGGCUCAACCGUAAAAUUGCAAUUGAUACUGGCAGUCUUGAGUACAGUUGAGGUAGGCGGAAUUCGUGGGGUAGCGGUGAAAUGCUUAGAUAUCACGAAGAACCCCGAUUGCGAAGGCAGCUUACUAGUCUGUGACUGACACUGAUGCUCGAAAGUGUGGGUAUCAAACAGGAUUAGAUACCCGAGUAGUC